rnacentral:rRNA from 1 species
AACGCCAAGAACCUUACCUGGUCUUGACAUCCGCGGAAGUUUUCAGAGAUAAAAAUGUGCCUUCGGGAACCGUGAGACAGGUGCUGCAUGGCUGUCGUCAGCUCGUGUUGUGAAAUGUUGGGUUAAGUCCCGCAACGAGCGCAACCCUUAUCCUUUGUUGCCAGCGGUCCGGCCGGGAACUCAAAGGAGACUGCCAGUGAUAAACUGGAGGAAGGUGGGGAUGACGUCAAGUCAUCAAGGCCCUUACGACCAGGGCUACACACGUGCUACAAUGGCGCAUACAAAGAGAAGCGACCUCGCGAGAGCAAGCGGACCUCAUAAAGUGCGUCGUAGUCCGGAUUGGAGUCUGCAACUCGACUCCAUGAAGUCGGAAUCGCUAGUAAUCGUGGAUCAGAAUGCCACGGUGAAUACGUUCCCGGGCCUUGUACACACCG